rnacentral:lncRNA from 1 species
AAGGUGCCACCAGCCCCGUGGGUGUCCCCCCAGUGUCCCUUAGUGUCCUCGGGGUGCCGUGGGUGUCCCCAAGGUGCCACCAGCCCCGUGGGUGUCCCCCAAGUGUCCCUUAGUGUCCUCGGGGUGCCGUGGGUGUCCCCAAGGUGCCACCAGCCCCGUGGGUGUCCCCCCAGUGUCCCCCCCAGGGGGCUGGCAUGUCCCCCGUGUCCCAAACAUCCCCAAUGUCCCCAAGGCACCGGGGUGGCCCCCGGGUCUCGCUGUCCCCCACGUCCUCGAUGUCCCCAACGUCCCCAAAACCAUCAGGGUGGCCCCCGGGUCUCGCUGUCACUGUUGUCCCCCGAUGUCCCCAAGGUGUGGGGGUGGCCCCCCCCCCCGGGGUCUCACUGGUCCCCAGUGUCCCCAACGUCCCCAAAACAUUGGGGUGGCCCUGGGUCUCGCUGUCCCCCAUGUCCCCAGUGUCCCCAAGGUAUCGGGGUGGCCCCCACAUCCUCGAUGUCCCCAACGUCCCCAAAAACAUCAGGGUGGCCCCCAGGUCUCACUGUCACUGUUGUCCCCCAAUGUCCCCAAGGGGUGGGGGUGGCCCCCAUGUCCCCGAUGUCCCCAAAGUAUCAGGGUGGCCCCUGGGCCUUGCUGUCCCCAAUGUCCCCAAGGCGUGGGGGUGGCCCCCACGUCCUCGAUGUCCCCAACGUCCUCAAAACCAUCAGGGUGGCCCCUGGGUCUCACUGUCACUGUUGUCCCCCAAUGUCCCCAAGGGGUGGAGGUGGCCCCCCCGAGGGUCUCACUGUCCCCAAUGUCCCCAAGGGGUGGGGGUGGCCCCCCCGGGGGUCUCGCUGGUCCCCGAUGUCCCCAAGGCCUUGGGGUGGCCCCUGGGGUCUCGCCGGUCACCGCCGUCCCCUCUGUCCCCAAGGGUCCCCGCGGGUCAGGGGGCGGGGGGCGCCCCCUCGGCCUCGCUGUCGCUGCUGUCCCCCAUGUCCCCGAGGUCCCCCAGGUCCCCCAUGUCGCCGUGGGGCAGGGCGAAGGGGGGCAGGUCCUCGUCGGAGGAGCCCAGAGAGUCCUCGUCCCCCAGGCGUGUCCCCAAGGCCACCGCACCGAAGGCCAGCGGGCCCCGCAGCAGCCGGA